UUGAACGCUGGCGGCAUGCUUUACACAUGCAAGUCGAACGGUAACAGGUUAAGCUGACGAGUGGCGAACGGGUGAGUAAUGCAUCGGAACGUGCCCGAUCGUGGGGGAUAACGCAGCGAAAGCUGCGCUAAUACCGCAUACGAUCUGAGGAUGAAAGCGGGGGAUCGCAAGACCUCGCGCGGACGGAGCGGCCGAUGCCAGAUUAGGUAGUUGGUGGGAUAAAAGCUUACCAAGCCGACGAUCUGUAGCUGGUCUGAGAGGACGACCAGCCACACUGGGACUGAGACACGGGCCAGACUCCUACGGGAGGCAGCAGUGGGGAAUUUUGGACAAUGGGCGAAAGCCUGAUCCAGCCAUGCCGCGUGCAGGAUGAAGGCCUUCGGGUUGUAAACUGCUUUUGUACGGAACGAAAAAGUCUUCUCUAAUACAGGGGGCGAAUGACGGUACCGUAAGAAUAAGCACCGGCUAACUACG
rnacentral:rRNA from 1 species